rnacentral:lncRNA from 10 species
CGUCCCGGCCGCCCGCCGCCCCGCCCCCGCGCCGCGAGGUCCUAAGCAGCCCGGGCUGUUGCGCGGCGCUGGCGGGCGGGGACACCAACGGGGAGUGGAUACUCCGAGGCUCAACCUGGGGCCUCUGCCCGCCCUCCCCUGGGUGCGGAGCCGGACGGCGGGCACUGGCAACCCCCGGGCCCCUGGAGAGCCCCGCGGCGGCCCAAGACCCGCUCCCGAGACACGUGGGCCCCUCCGGACUUGGUUGGUCCCUGGAGCCAGCUGCGCGCGUCCUCUCCGGCCUCCUUGUCGGCGCUGGAGUGGGUCCACGUCUGCCUUGCGGAGCGCGGUGGUUCCACGCUCCUGAGCGCCCACGCUGCGCAGACCUGGCCGCUCUGCGAGGCGACGGCAGCGCACUGAAGACCGUGGUGUUUCCCAAGCCCUCCCUGCUCUCGGGCCUCCAGGGCGCAGCAGGGGAGGGUUUUGUCCCCGUGGCCAAAGCUCUGCAGGUCGAACCUUAUCUGCUAUGGGAAGGCCCCGCAUUUUCAGAUUCACGCAGGGCCCUCUGCAGACUGUUGGCAGAAAAAAGGUAGCCACCAAACACAUGCAUAAGCUGGACUUUUCCCAGAAUGCUGCAGCAGAACUACCCUCCAGAUAGACACUAGCCUGCGGGCCACAGUGCUACGUGAGUCUUGCAAAGAGGAGAUCUUUAUGGCGAGGCUGAGAGCACUGCCUGCAUGCUUUACCAGAGCCCAGCCUCCAGCCUCCACGGAAAAUGUGUUUUGGAAUCAACACUCUUUGCAAAGGCUCCACACUGCUUUCUGGUAGCAUUGGCCUGGGCGCCCAGGCACUCCUUUAGAACCCACCUGUUCCCCCCACCCACCCUAGUGGGAGGAGGAGAGGGUUACACUGACAGAUACCGGCAGCUCUGCAACCCGGGAACAACGCAGACAACAUACAACUCGACAGAGUCACAGAAGGUGGCGUCCAUCGCGCCUGGAUGGUGACUACUGCCCUGCGGGCUGCUGGGUGGGUGAAACACACAGGGAAGAAGCACAAAUACACACACAGAUGUGGCUCAGGGACAUUUGAAUGCUUCAGUGUGUGAAUUUUUUAGCGCAUUCUGACUCGAAAUUAUGGCUGAAUAGUGGCGCACUAAUGUCCAAGUCCAUGUUCGAUAAUGGCAGGAAGUCUGCACUAAUUGGUCUAUUUAGUAGUUGCUGAGGUGGCAAAAGCUGCAGCUGCUGGUGGCUGAAAGAGAGAGAGAGAGAGAGAGACCUCCUCUUAGGCCACUUCCCAGAGCUGUGGCAGUGGGGGAGGGGGAAUUCCCCAGGAUGGUGUUUGUGGUCAAGUUCACCUCUGGCAACCCUGCCUAAGCUCUUCUCACAGGUGCACGCAUUCAAGUCCUGAAGAGCCCUCCCCGCCCCCAACAGUGUUCAUGUCCCGGGCUGGGGGCCCGCCUGGGAGGGGCUCUAUAUGCCGGUGGGACCUGGCUGCUUUGCCUCGCAUUCUCCCCACUCUUCCCCUUCCCAGGGCAGCUUUUCUCCCCGCACCCCAUCUCUCUCCCCUUUGCUUUCUAACUGGGUUGGGAAGCUAAUCUGCCAAGAGCCCGCUGCUUAGCCGGUGCGGUGGCAUGUGCCUGUGGUCCCAGCUACUUGGGAGGCUGGAACAGGAGAAUCGCCUGAGCCCAGGGGUAGAGGUGAGGCUGCAGUGAGCUAGGAUUGCACCAUGGCGCUCCAGCCUGGGCCACAGAGCAAGACUGUCUGAAAAAAAGAACCUGCUGCCCACCUCACCAUUUGAACUGGGAAUAUUUUACCAGAGAGAAUGUGGACAUGGAGAAGCCACCGUCACACACAGAGUAAGGGUGUGUGGGGUGGGGGCAGAUUUAAGAUGGACUCUGGACAGUUCCCGAGCCACUAGAGUGCCCAUCCCUGCCAGGAGGCCCCAGAUGCUCAGGGGUUUCAGCGGCCUUCUGCAGCCUCAGCCAGUGCUUACACCACACCUGGGAGCAGCAUGGGCCGCCCUCUGCCUCACCGAGGGGCAAACCGGCUGAGGACCCAGGCACGAAGAGUGUCACCAGCUCUGACCACAAGCCCCGUAGACCAGGGCUGCGUCCAUAAUCGGGGUUGAUGGCAUUAGUUAUUAUAUUAUAACCUCCUUGUUGCGUGAUUCUAGUAAUUUAUUUUCCCACUUGGCCUUUGACUGGGCUGGGCUCCUCCCAGUGGAACAACAGGGGGUGUCGUGUUUGCAGCAGAAACGCACACUGGGAUCCUUUCUUGCAACAGCUGGGCCGGCUGGGUCUUUUCUCUUGUCUUCUGUACACAGGCCCCUCUCCGCUGUUUCUGCAGAGACCGAGGUGGGAGGGAGAAAGACCCUCCAGCCCUCUGCUCCCACCCUCCCCGCAGUCUCCGGGGCCCUGUGCUGCAGGCAAGAUAAUUUGGCUAAUGAACUCGUUAAAGGGCCCCUGGUGACCCGCCCCGGCUUCCCCUCGGCCCAUCUGGGAAAUUCCAUUGAAAGGCUGGAGAAGGUUCCUCAGCCCCGCCGCCUUCUGUCGCUGCUAGAGGCGCGAACCCGGUGACUCUGGGCCCCUUACAUUAAAAUAAUUACCCGGCGGAACAGGUGGCCCACUCCCGGCGCCUGGGUGCAUCUGGGCCCCCGGAGCCGCAGCCCGGGAGGAGGGGAGCGGCACGCCCAGGGGAGGGAAGGUCAGGCCCGCUGAGCCGGGAGCCGGGAGGGUAGAGAGGGGCUUUCCUAGGGACAGACGGUCCCGGGGCACCCAGGCCUCCGCGGCCGAGCGGGCUGAGGCCUAAGCAGGGAGGCCGUCGCCUUCAGGCACAGGUAAGCGCAGCCCGCGCACCGCUUGGGACGCACCUGGCCACCUGCGCUGCCACCCAAGCUUGGGGUAUGCGGGUGCCCGAGCAGAACCCCGAACUCGCACCGGGCUCCGAGGUUGGAGCAACUCCUAACACUGGGCUCGGAGCUAGGGGCUUGCUGGAGGGGCGCUUGCCGCGCCGGCCCUCGGGGCUCACAGCCGGGCACGCCGGACUGCGGCGAGCGCGUGGGCGAGCGUGUCAGGAGCGUGCGCCCUGGGUGCGCGCGUGCGAGAGCGCACGUGUAGGGUGGCUUCCAGUCCUCCCUUCCCGCCUGAGAAGCGUCCACGCGGAGUUCCAGGCCGGGCGCUGGGGAAGGAGGUCCCGGGGACGCUGCUGAAAAGAGAGCGGCCAGCCCAGGCGCGGGGCCAAGCCUAUUGCCAAAAACAUAUUACCCUGCGACAUUCUGUAAAUGAGAUAAUGAUCCAUAAACCCGGAUGAUAGAUGUGGCGUGCCUGCGAUGUCUUCUCUAAAUGAGCUGCUCGCAUCGACUGCUAAUAAUGAUACUGAAGAUUUUACAGCGGGGAAUGGACAUGGUCAGACUCACAUCUAACAAAAGCCGGAAGAUGAUUCUGGAAGACACCGCCGUGGCAAUUUGGCCAGGAGGUUCCAGAGAUGGUGGUCUCAAAGGGGAGCAGUAGGAGCAAAUGGGACCAGGAGGAUUUUUCUCUUUUUUCUGGGAGAGGUAUUUUUAAGGAUGUAGAACUUAUUUUCUGACAGAAAAGUAAACAAAAUAUGUAAGUAUUGUGGCUAUCUACUGUUCAGUGGAGAUUUUCUGUACACCCAUCAGGCCCCCAGUUCACACCACAUCGCUAAGAAUGUGCUACGUACUCCCCCGGGGUUCCUUCACAGCGUGCACAUAAACAAUCCUGCAUCUGUACAUGCACAGGUUACCACGUGUACGGUUUGCGCAUAAACAAUCCUGCAUCUUUGCAUGCACAGGUUACCACGUGUAUGUAGUUAUCAAGUAUAUGUUAAUAAAUUUCUUUUUGAGACAGAGUCUCGCUCUGUCGCCCAGGCUGGAG